rnacentral:rRNA from 1 species
UUGGGUUAAGUCCCGCAACGAGCGCAACCCUUGAUCUUAGUUGCCAGCAUUUCGGAUGGGCACUCUAAGGUGACUGCCGGUGACAAACCGGAGGAAGGUGGGGAUGACGUCAAAUCAUCAUGCCCCUUAUGACCUGGGCUACACACGUACUACAAUGGCCGGUACAACGGGCAGUGAAGCCGCGAGGUGGAACGAAUCCUAAAAAGCCGGUCUCAGUUCGGAUUGCAGGCUGCAACUCGCCUGCAUGAAGUCGGAAUUGCUAGUAAUCGCGGAUCAGCAUGCCGCGGUGAAUACGUUCCCGGGUCUUGUACACACCGCCCGUCACACCACGAGAGUUUAUAACACCCGAAGUCGGUGGGGUAACCGCAAGGAGCCAGCCGCCGAAGGUGGGAUAGAUGAUUGGGGUGAAGUCGUAACAAGGUAGCCGUAUCGGAAGGUGCGGCUGGAUCACCUCCUUUCUAUGGAGA